rnacentral:misc_RNA from 1 species
AGUCUGCAUGCAAACCUUGCACUGCAUUCAAAGUUCACCACCAUCACAAGAUGAUUCCAUAAAUAUGUCACACACAAUGCAGAAGACUCAGUUUCCAUGAACUUAACUUAGUUCAUGUAUAAAUCAUACACUAUGUGAGAUUAUCAAAAUAGUCAGACCCAAUUUCAUUCCCUGCCAUUACUUCAGGAUGCAUUUGGAUAGAGAAUUUGAAAUUCAAAUAAAAAAAAUGUAGGAUACCGCCUCCAUCAUCCUACUCGUACUGCCACCUUGAUUACCUCAAUCAUCCCAUCCAUCAUUCAAGUCUUAUCCAUGAUAAUCAAUAUACAUCCAUGAAUUUUUGUCACAUAAUGCCGUUUCUAUACUAUUUUGCCAGCUUAUAAUGUAAGAUGGACAAAUGGUAUAAAAUUAAUAGUAUAUAAAAACAAUAAUCCACAAAAUUACAGGGUAACAGGUUCAAAAAAAUAAAUUCAAACACACUACAAACUUCAAAUUCGCCACUUCCAACUCAUGGGGAAAAAAGCUCACCUAGAGUUGGCCAUGAUCAAAGUAGGGUCCAAAAUUGGUCAAUGGUUCCCAAACUCAACCCAGACCCAAAGGAGGACAGGAGUCUCUGUCCAUUGAAACUGGCGGUUCCACAUGGGGUCUGGUUUGAACCACGAAUUAAAAAAUAAAAAAUUAAAUAUUAUUUCAAACAUUCGAUUGCCUCAAUCCGGAUUAAUUGAAAGAAAACUGAAACUAAACAAUAAAUGUGAAGAAUGGCCCUCUCAACUUGGUUCAGGUUUGGUUGAACCACAAACCAGAACUGCAGGUAAUGGUCCGGAAUGGACCAUGGCAAGCACUAAGCUUACCCGUGAACUAAACCUCCAGCUUUGGGUGCCAAUAUCAUUAAAAAAAUAUUAAAAAAAAAACUAACUUUCCACAAUUCAUUUAAAAUCAGCCUAAAAAACUACACACACACACACACACACA